rnacentral:rRNA from 1 species
CUAAUCUGCGAUAAGCGCCGGUAAGGUGAUAUGAACCGUUAUAACCGGCGAUACCCGAAUGGGGAAACCCAGUGUGAUUCGUCACACUAUCAUUAACUGAAUCCAUAGGUUAAUGAGGCGAACCGGGGGAACUGAAACAUCUAAGUACCCCGAGGAAAAGAAAUCAACCGAGAUUCCCCCAGUAGCGGCGAGCGAACGGGGAGGAGCCCAGAGCCUGAAUCAGCAUGUGUGUUAGUGGAAGCGUCUGGAAAGGCGCGCGAUACAGGGUGACAGCCCCGUACACAAAAGCGCAUGUGCUGUGAGCUCGAUGAGUAGGGCGGGACACGUGGUAUCCUGUCUGAAUAUGGGGGGACCAUCCUCCAAGGCUAAAUACUCCUGACUGACCGAUAGUGAACCAGUACCGUGAGGGAAAGGCGAAAAGAACCCCGGCGAGGGGAGUGAAAAAGAACCUGAAACCGUGUACGUACAAGCAGUGGGAGC